rnacentral:lncRNA from 1 species
UGCUGAUGGAGAGAUUUAUGUUCAACUACAAGACAAUGUUAGAGGGUGUGAUGUAUAUCUUGUGCAGCCAAUUUGUCCUCCAGCAAAUGAAAAUCUUAUAGAACUCUUGAUAAUGAUUGAUGCUUGUCGGAGAGCAUCAGCCAAAAAUAUUACUUCUGUUAUGCCUUAAUUUUGGAUAUGCUAGAGCUGAUCGAAAGGUAUGUUAUCUAAGAAUUGAGUUAAUUUAAGUGAACCCAGUACUCACAUCGAAAUUUUGAUUUAAAAUAAUAACGUGUUUUGGUAAUCUCAAAAUUACAUAAUGAUCAAUUUAAAUACGAAACACUACAAUCUACUUGCCUUGACCCUGCUGUUUUUCCCUGCUAAAUGAGACAUCAUGAUGCAGCUUAUAGGUUUCUAUUUGAAAGCCCUGAUUUUGUUGCCUCGCAUUGAGUCUUUUUAUCAAAAUUGAAGAAUUCUUACUGGAUAUACAAUGAAACUAUGCAAAUAUUGGUAAACGUCCACAUGCUUCAGGUCUUCACUUUUACUUUUUCUUCUAGAGUGUUUUCACUUUAAAAUUUCUAAAGAAAAAAAAUCUUAAACUAAAAGCAAUUAGAUGCCAAAUGAUAAAAAUAAUGUCAAGUUUUAUUAGGUGUAUGACUAUUAUGUAAUUUCACCUUUAUUUCAUUGACAAUUAGCCUCCACCUGAAUGAAUUUGGUUGAUGAGUGUUGUUAGUAUUCUUUGUUUUGGUACUUCAAUUUCCUAUUUGCAUUUCUUUAUGAACAUUUGCUUCCACUAUAGACACAAGGGCGUGAGUCAAUAGCAGCCAAACUUGUAGCUAAUCUGAUUACUGAAGCUGGUGCAGACCGGGUUCUUGCCUGUGACCUUCAUUCUGGUCAGUCCAUGGGAUAUUUUGACAUUCCAAUGGAUCAUGUACAUGGUCAGGUAAAAGGCCUUGAGAUGUUUGUUCCCAUGACAUCCACAGAAUCUAACACUGGCAUAAUUUCAGUGAGUUUUGGUGCAAUAUUAACCCAAGAAAAUUUGGAAGCUGAUGAAUUGAAGAUUGGCGAAUGGGGCUGACUUAAUUGUCUAUAUGUUGAAUUUCUAUUUGCAAUCUUACUUUAUUGUUCACUUAUUCUGAAGCAAGUAGCCUGUCAUACUUGAUUACCUUGCCAACAAGGCCAUAUGUUCUGAUGUUCUGGUUGUGGUCUCACUGGAUGUUGGCGGGGUUGCUAGAACAAGAGAUUUUGCCAAAAAGUUGUCUGAACUGAAUAUUUGGUAUGCUACAUUUUGUGCCUAUAACACCAAUGGGUUAAUAUACCAUUCGGAUUCUGCAGGUGAUGAAUUUGAUUGGUGACGUGGCAGUUAUGGUGGAUGACAUGAUUGAUACUGCUUGGUAAUUUUUUUUUAUUUUUCUUUAUGAUCCACUUAUUCUUUCACAAUCUUGAAUAAUAGGUAAUCAAAUAGCUGCAGCCUGGGCAUACACAUAUAGAUGCUACACUGCAAAUUCUAUAUUGAAAUCAAGAUCUAAAACUGAAAAGAAUAAGGGGGUGUUCUCUUUGUGUUUCAGUUUUGUGUUUUGAGUUUUGAAUUCAUUUUGAGUUUUGUGUUUUGAGUGUUUGUUUUGACAUUGUUGAAAAUGCGUUCUUUUUGUUAGUUUCUCAAAACAAAAAAAAAUGAAAUUUUUUUUUUUGAAAUUUUGAGAAUCACCACAAGAUCACCUAAAAAAAAAAAAUAAUAAAAUAAAUAAAUAAAUAAAUAAAUAAAUAAAUAUAUAUAUAUAUAUAUAUAUAUAUAUAUAAUAAUAAUAAUAAUAAUAAUAAUAAUAAUAAUUUUUAAAUUUUUUUUUUUUUGAAAUUUUGAGAAUCACCACACCACGUUUAAAAAAAAAAAAGUGUUUCCCGCGUUUUCAGUUUUUUCAAGUUUUACUCUGAAAACACCCAAAACAACACAAAAGUCGUUUUGUGUUUUCUUCACAAAUUUUUUUUUCGUUUUCGAAAACGGGAAAGAGAACACGUUUUCACCGUUUUGAAAAAUCGAAAACAGAAAACGGCCCGAAAACAGUAAAGAGAACAGGGCCUAAGCUUUUUGUAAUCAUACAUACAGCUGUAUGUAAAUAAAUUCGGUUUUAACCAUAUUUCCAAUUUAAUCUUUUUUCUCUACCAGGGGAAAAUAAGAAUACAUCUACAUACAGCACUAUCAAUUUUGGCGACACUAGUUCACCACUGUCUCCCUAAUCAGUAAAACAUCAACUCUUAAGAGCUGUAAAUUCUUUUCAGGUUUCUUCAUCGGAGGAUUUAUAAAUCAAUUGCUCAAUUUCCAAUUUUUGUCACCAUUUGUGGGGUGGUUAUAUACAGCCCCCACUAGCACUUUUGUCAUAAUCAGUCUAUCGUAUUUGGGAAUUGUACUUAUCGGCAGAUGGUUACAGGAACCAUUGCAAAAGCAGCAGCUUUGUCGCAUCAAGGAGGAGCUAAAAUAUCUUCUCAUUGGAAUAUUUGCUUGACUGAAAGUAUGGCGCUUUUUUAGUAGUGAUGAAAAAUUUACUUCUCAGUUACAAUCUACCUUCCCAGAUUGGAGCUCUUAAACAUAUCAGCAAAUAGAGUCACCUGAUCCCUAUCUUUAAUGAAAAUUAAGCGUUGGAUCACUGAGCUGCUUGAUCAUUUCAUUGGCCUGGUUCAGGGCAAGAUCAUAUAUUUCAUAAUUCGGCCAGUGGAGUCGUGGCUUUUAUUCUUUUGGAGCUUCAUUUCCAUCUCAAUAAUCUAUACUUAACAAAUUGUGCCAAUCUCCACUUUGCUCAUACUGAAUCAGGUUUAAUACAAAUUGUGCCAAUCUCCACAUGUUAAACUUUUUGCAGUCCUCCUGCAACUGAGCGGUUAUCAAAUGUCCUAUUCCAAUAGGUUAUCAUAACAAACACCAUUCCAGUAGAAGACAAGAACUAUUUCCCUCAGCUUACAAUCUAAUCUGUGGCAAACCUCCUGGGCGAGACCAUAUGGCGGGUGGAUGAUGAUUGUGUUGGGAAUCUACUUAUACAUGCACAGCGGAAUUUAAAAUAUAUUUCGAUUCCCAUCCAAUAGAUCUCAUUGUGUUUGAUUAGGAAUUGUGAUAAGAUUGUACCUUUUGUCAGAUCUGCAAUCUUUUGCUUUUCUUUUCGUUCCAUCAACCUUGAUCUGCCACCACAGCUGUCCAAUUGUCCAGCCUCCAACGGUGAUCCACACAGAGAAUUUGAUUGCAG